ACCUUUCUUUAAGGUCUAAUCAUGUUAAUAUCAGCCUUUUAUCACCACUCACUAGACUUCCAUCUCUCAGCUAUUUAGAUUUAGAAUAUAAUCAAUUGGAAGGACCAUUCAAUUUCAAAGAAUUGGGCAAAAGCAAGCUAGUGACAUUGGACUUGAGUGGCAAUAACAUUACAAAAUUUGUAGACUCAAGAGAAAUAAGGGCUUCAAACAAUAUAAGUGAGCUGUAUUUAGAUGAUAUGAACAUAACAAAAGGAAGCAAGUUAUUGGAAUCAUUGGGAGCAUUUAGCCACCUUAAAAAUCUAUCUCUGGUGUCAUGUAAAUUCGAAGGAGCAAUUCUCCAUCAAGGUAAGCUAAUUACUUUAUUAUUAUAAUUAUUUUUCCACUAUUUAAUUU